UCACCGACCUGCAACCGGCACACGAGCGACAGGAAGCAUCUGCUCUUUAUUGCUGUUGAAGUGGAAAAUGUGCUCAUUGCGUCCAUUAGCGAUAUGAAGACACUCGUGUUGGUGGUGCAAAGGUAAUGCGCUAAAAUGGAGGAAUGGGAGGUUGCCGCUUCUUUC